rnacentral:rRNA from 1 species
AUUGAACGCUGGCGGCAGGCCUAACACAUGCAAGUCGAGCGGCAGCGGGAAAGUAGCUUGCUACCUUUGCCGGCAAGCGGCGGACGGGUGAGUAAUGCCUGGGAAAUUGCCCAGUCGAGGGGGAUAACAGUUGGAAACGACUGCUAAUACCGCAUACGCCCUACGGGGGAAAGCAGGGGACCUUCGGGCCUUGCGCGAUUGGAUAUGCCCAGGUGGGAUUAGCUAGUUGGUGAGGUAAUGGCUCACCAAGGCGACGAUCCCUAGCUGGUCUGAGAGGAUGAUCAGCCACACUGGAACUGAGACACGGUCCAGACUCCUACGGGAGGCAGCAGUGGGGAAUAUUGCACAAUGGGGGAAACCCUGAUGCAGCCAUGCCGCGUGUGUGAAGGAGGCCUUCGGGUUGUAAAGCACUUUCAGCGAGGAGGAAAGGUUGGCGCCUAAUACGUGUCAACUGUGACGUUACUCGCAGAAGAAGCACCGGCUAACUCCGUGCCAGCAGCCGCCGCGGUAA